UACCGAGAGAGACCGCGCUGGCCGCGGCGCCGAAGGGGAAUGCAAAAACUCUCAGGCAAAAGGAUCGG
rnacentral:ncRNA from 1 species